GAUGAACGCUGGCGGCGUGCCUAAUACAUGCAAGUCGAGCGAACAGACGAGGAGCUUGCUCCUCUGACGUUAGCGGCGGACGGGUGAGUAACACGUGGAUAACCUACCUAUAAGACUGGGAUAACUUCGGGAAACCGGAGCUAAUACCGGAUAAUAUAUUGAACCGCAUGGUUCAAUAGUGAAAGACGGUUUUGCUGUCACUUAUAGAUGGAUCCGCGCCGCAUUAGCUAGUUGGUAAGGUAACGGCUUACCAAGGCAACGAUGCGUAGCCGACCUGAGAGGGUGAUCGGCCACACUGGAACUGAGACACGGUCCAGACUCCUACGGGAGGCAGCAGUAGGGAAUCUUCCGCAAUGGGCGAAAGCCUGACGGAGCAACGCCGCGUGAGUGAUGAAGGUCUUCGGAUCGUAAAACUCUGUUAUUAGGGAAGAACAACUGUGUAAGUAACUAUGCCCGUCUUGACGGUACCUAAUGAGAAAGCAACGGCUAACUACGUG
rnacentral:rRNA from 1 species